rnacentral:lncRNA from 1 species
UCUCAUCACUCUCGCCGCCCUCCACCCUCUUUCUCCCUACCUCUCUCUCCUCUCUUCCUUCAUGCCGACGCCGCCGCCUUCCUUUUCCGGCGAAAUCGCCACCAGCUGCCACCACCACCACCUCCUUCCCGUCCUCAAACUCGCUCAAAACCCCAUUCUUUGUUUCUCAAAACCGAACCAGAUGAAGUACCAUGAAACUCUCCCCCUAUCUCUCCUUCUCCUCCGGCUGCAGAGGCCGACACCGACCGCCGCCGCAUUGGGCACCACCACCGCCCUCUCAACUCUUUCUUUUUCCCCUUCUCUCCUACUCUCCUGCAAAAACCCCAAAUCUGCAAAUAAAAUCCCUAAAUCCUCUCUGACUUCUAGCAGACGGACAGCAGGAGCCAGAAGGCCAUUUCCGCCGCCGCCGAUCUCACCCUCUCUGGACCUUCGGUCGACCUCAAAGGCCGAGGCCGCCGUCGCUCCUUCCGCCGAACAGCCCCACCGUCCAGCCGCCUCCCCUUUCUCUCUCUAUUUAUGGCAGACGCCAGCAGGAGCAUCAGGCCGCUGCCGCCGCCGGCACUCCCUCCUCCGUCCUAAUCUCCACCCUUCUCUCGCCGGCGAGAAGCCGCCGCCAUCCAUCGGCGUCACGGCCACAACGCCGCUGCCCACAGCAGCAUCGCCGGUCUUCUCUUCCUCCGUUCUCCCUCGAAUCACAACCCAGCAGCUGUUAGAAAGGAAAGAAUCCGUUAAGAGUUUUUUUUAGGGGUUAAAUCCUCUAUCAAGGAUCCUUUGAUAUUACUUUUUUGAUACUCCCUCAGUUCACGAAAAAGUGCCAUAUUUACCUCUUUUUUUGUCCACGAAAAAAUGUCAUAUUUACCUUUUUAUACAUUCA